rnacentral:rRNA from 1 species
AANUGUGAUGUUGGGUUAAGUCCCGCAACGAGCGCANCCCUUGUCCUUAGUUGCUACGCAAGAGCACUCUAAGGAGACUGCCGGUGACAAACCGGAGGAAGGUGGGGAUGACGUCAAGUCCUCAUGGCCCUUAUGGGUAGGGCUUCACACGUCAUACAAUGGNCGGAACAGAGGGUUGCCAACCCGCGAGGGGGAGCUAAUCCCANAAAACCGAUCGUANUCCGGAUUGCACUCUGCAACUCNAGUGCAUGAAGCUGGAAUCGCUAGUAAUCGCGGAUCANCAUGCCGCGGUGAAUACNUU